CCCUUAGAUGUUCUGGGCUGCACGCGUGCUACACUGAUUAUUUCAACAAGUGUUUUAACUGGAGAGUUUGCGUAAUCCUGAAAUGCUAUCGUGAUGGGAGUAGAGUAUUGUAUUUGUUAAUCUUUAACGAGGAAUUCCUAGUAAGUGUAGGUUUAUAAGUUGUUCUGAUUACGUCCCUGCCCUUUGUACACACCGCCCGUCGCACCUACCGAUUGGAUGGUCCGGUGAAGCCUCGGGAUUGUGGUUCUUGCCGCUUUAUUGUGGCGUGACCGCGAGAACUUGUCUAAACCUUAUCAUCUAGAGGAAGGUGAAGUCGUAACA
rnacentral:rRNA from 1 species